GGAGGGAUGGCCGAGCGGUUGAAGGCGCCGGUCUUGAAAAUCGGUAGAGUCCAAAAGGCUCUCGUGGGUUCGAAUCCCACUCCCUCCG
rnacentral:tRNA from 1 species